rnacentral:lncRNA from 1 species
UAUAAAUAAGGGAUGAUAAGAAAGGGGGAGAAGCAUGGUGAGGAAGAGAGGAGAAAAAGAAGAGAAGAAGAGGGAAGCUCUCAAGGGUAACCCUUGGGCUUUAGGUAAACAUAUCUCUCUCAUUUUAAUUCGCUUUUCCAUGAAACAUUGAGGGUAGUUUUUUAGUAAUGUGACAGAUAUUUUUGAGGUUAGAUAUUAGUAAAAAAAAUCUAAAAACUCUGUUAAAAUUUCGGGUGAAAAAUGUCAAAAAC